GGUGGAGCAAAACUCAAAAAAUAGAUCUCAGUUCGGACUGUAGGCUGCAACUCGCCUACACGAAGUUGGAAUUGCUAGUAAUCGUGGAUCAGCAUGCCACGGUGAAUACGUUCCCGGGUCUUGUACACACCGCCCGUCACACCAUGGGAGCUGGUAACACCCGAAGUCAGUAGUCUAACCGCAAGGAGGACGCUGCCGAAGGUGGGAUUAGCGACUGGGGUGAAGUCGUAACAAGGUACC
rnacentral:rRNA from 1 species